ensembl:lncRNA
GGAGACUGAAAUCGGGCAUCCAGCUGCGCAGCCGCAGCCCCUCCUGAUAAUUUACAAACUGUUUAUGCUUUCCUGCACAGCAAAAGGACCCAGUCAUACAUGGUAAGUCCAGGGCCAGAGAGGAGCAGAGAAGUGGGAGUUUUCCUUCUCUCUGACACCCGAGGAUGAGCUGCCCCCACAGAACAUCACGUUGGAUUCACUCCAUGCUUCUUCUCCAGAACCCCUGCCUGCUGGACCUGCAGACAGACUCAGAUUCUCCAGGACGAGGCCCCUGCGGAAAGAUGGUGGGAGGAGAGAAGGUGAACUUGGUCCCGGGACUGCAUCAGAGUGAACGUGAUCCUGGCUCGCCUUCACGAGAGCCGUGAGCUGUCAUGAACAUGAGGCCGGCUUUCACAGAUCCCAGAGUCUUUAACACGGGUCCAGAUGUUCAGAGGAAGGAGAAGAAAACCCCGCUUCAACAGGCCUAGCUGAAGGCCACAUAACUCGUGGUAAAGCUGCUAAAUCUAUUUGCAUUUCACACCCAAUAAUUUAGACUCCAUCUCUGAACCCUCUGUCUUAAAUUAGGCCGUGUGAUGCUUCAGCCCAGCCGUUUGCUAACCGCCUUGGGGUGAACGCUGGGAAAGACAGCUAGCAGAACUUCUCUGGGUGGAGAGGAACCACUGUUUGUGGGUCUUGCUUCUCCUCUCCAGCGAAACUCUCCAGGCCCCUUGGCACCGCUCCGUUCUGAGCCUGCCGAGGAUGGCCUGAUGGGCGGGGGUUGGGGGGCUGAGUUUGCCAACCCUCAAGGUCACGUGUCACACUUUCAGAACAUGACCUGGAAAGUGUCUCAAAGGAAUAAUGUUCCGGGUGCCCUUUGGUUCUAGGCUUGAGCUCAUUCUCUUGCAGGGACUGUAAAUUAUUUUGUGCUGCAAUGGAAUUGUAGGAGUGCUGAAUGGUAGGCUCAUAAAGAAAUGAUUUAUAAUUAAAUUAGACCUCAGAAAAAUGUCCCGAGUUAUAUCUAUUUGGCUUUCUCUGGCUUUUUUGAAGGUCCCACAAACAGACUGAAUGGAAAUUUCACUUAAGAAAUUGUUGUCAUAAAAUUUUAUGGGGCCAUCUCCGUGGUUAGGGGGCUGUUAAACAUCCCUGCAGAGGGAAAAACAAACACAAUUAGAUACAGACUAGUGGCUCUGUUUGGAGGGUGAAAACCAAAGUCACGAUGGAAAUGCCACGUCCCUGGAAGCAGAACAUUCAACCCCAGCUGGAUUUUCUGAUGCAAGAUUAUCGUAAAAAUUCGGUCAGGGUCUAACUUUCUAUUCUGUUUUUCUUUUCUCCUCUUUUUCCUCACUGCUUUUUUUUUUUUUUCCUUUUAAAUAGGCUUUAUGGUUUAGAGCAUUUUAAAGUGCAGAGCCAUAGUGAGCAGAAAGUACAGAGAUUUCUUACCUCUGACCCCACCAAGCACACAGCCUCCCAUCAUCCACAUCCCACCAGAGUGGCCCAUUUGUCACAAGUGAUGAGCCUGCACUGACCUAUUGUAAGCACUCAGAGUCUUCGGUUUGUGUUAUGCUUCCCUCUUCGUGUUGUCCGUUCUGUGGAUUUGGACAAAAUAAAUAAUGUCACGUACCCA